UGUUUUGGAGAGAGAAAAAGAUGGCCUGUGGUCGUGUGUUGUAUGUAAGCGAAGGAGGACGCAUGAGUGAGAGAAUGAGAGAUUGACAGAAUCGGAUGUGUGCCUCGUGGUGGAAUCGUGCUCAAAUCGUAUCGUAUACAAUUCUUGAGCUUAAUUCGUUGGUAUUUUUCUCAUUCGGUCACCGACCGCUGCUUGAGAAAGUGCUUAACUCUGUGUCUCGUGGCGUUGAGAGCUCAAGUGAUUGUUUGUUGUGUAUUUUCCCUCAAUUCGUGUCCCACAGCGUCUGGUCGAGAAUUUUGGGGCUUCUUUGCGGUGUGAAAUUGUAAUAACACUGGAAAAUUGUUUCAUCAUAAAAGCAACGAAUAGAUUGGGAGCGACAUCUAGGACUCAAUAAAAACGGUUUACAAGUGCGGAGAAGCGAAAGAGAAUCUUUAAGAACUUGAUUACGAACAUUUUAUAAACAAUUUCGAAUGCAUUCUGACCCGAAGACGCUCUAAGACGAAGUGACGUGAGGGAAGUGAAAGAGGGAAUAUCUUGCGAAUAAAUCAAUUCCCAUGUGAAAUAUCCUGCCUUCUUCCUUCGACAUAUCUUUCUUUGAUUCAAUCAUCAAAGUGGGAUGUUUGUGUUUGAUGUAACUUUGAUGUGAAGAGAGCGAGUGUUACUCGAGUGAGAAGAGUUGCUGAGAGACAGAAAACAUUUUUCAAUUUUACCAAUUGAGACGAGAGAAGAGAUUAAAUUAAAUUGAAUGUAUAGAGAAAAGAGGAGAGAAAAAAAUUGUUCAACGACCCAACAUUAAAUCAAAUACACUUCAAAAGUAUAAUAAUUUCACUGAAAGGAGCCAAGUGUGAGAGAGAGAGAGACAGAACACGGGCAAAAAAGGCACAUUGGUGAAUUGAUUAAAAUCGUGAAGUCAGUAACUGUAAUUUGAAAAUAUUCAAAAGUCUAUCAUCUGAAUAUAUUGAAUGGUAAGGCUUUUUGUGGACUCUCUUGUGUGUUGCUCCCUUUGAUUGCACUAUCGAGAUUAAUUUCUGAAUUGACUCUCAAGGUGGUUCAAAAAAAAAGCGUUGAAUAAUUGCUAAAGGAAGGAAGAGGAGAGAAAGACAAUAUAUUAAUUAUAUUAAAUUGAUUUGUGCUCAAGAUUAAAAGGUAUUUUUUUCCUUAACCGUGCGUUGUGAUUCUGCAGAAGAAAAGCAAUUUAGUGAGCGAGUUUUUUGCGUCAAAUAAGAGAGACGACUUUUGAGGUGUGUUUAUACUUCUGUAUUACUUUUUGCUAGAGCGCAAAAGGAGUGUAAAUAUUGAAAAAUCUCAUGUGAGAGUUUCAAUGGAAUUAUUUUGAAUAUUUAUUUCAAAAUACCUGAAGAGCAGAGAUAAAAAAGUGCGCGAUUAUUUGAAAGUUGCCAAUUGGCGAGGAAAAGAAUGUGUGUGUGCAGCAAUUGAAGAAAAAGAGCGAGAGAGAGAGAGAGAGAUCUUCCGAGAAAGAAAUUUUUCUACGCUAUCUAAGAUUUAAAUAUGAAGUGAUGCAUCAACGUUUUUUUGCUGCUCAAUAGUAUUCAUCAUUCCACAUGAAAGUAUUGAAUUAGUGGUCAUUUGAGAAGACGUUUUGUGAGUGCAUCGACGAGAGUGUGCCGCUGAAGACGCGCCUCAGCUGCACUGAGAGAAAAACUGACUAUGGAAGCGUACAAUACAGGAUCCGAUUUGAACGUUAACAGGAUGUUCGAUCAAUACUUAUACAAGAGAAACGACGAGAGUAUCGACGUCGCUCUAUCGGUGCCACAAUACAACGGUCAUCAUCAGCACAGUACGCAGCAUUUCGACAUGAAUGACCAGACAUUUCACACACCAUCCUUCGGUGAUGAGGAUUUCGACAUUCCCCCCAUGACGCCCCACAUGGCCCAGCAGCAGCAUCCGCCACAGCAGGCUCAGCAGCAUCAGUAUCAGAUGCACUCGACGCCUCCUCAUCACAUGGCCAUGAUGGGCGAUCACUACAGUCACCAGUGGCACGCAGAUCAGCCGCCUCAGCACAUGGGGCACCACAACACGAGUUACUCAAUGCAGCCACAGGGCCAGCCGAACUAUCCCCUCACGAGUCCCACGCACCACCAGACGCCGCAGCCGACGCAUCAGAUGCUCAUGAUGCAGCCGCCGCAGCAGUCGCCCCAAAUGGCGCCUCAGAUGUCGCCGCAAAUCGGGGGCGCCGGCGGGGCCUUCAUUGGCCGAUCGCCGCCGCAGGGGGUCCACGGACAAACGGAGACGGGCACCACGAGUGACGAUAGUGAUGACAAUGGAAUUCCUAUAAAUUCACUGAAACGACCAUCACCGGAACCAUUAAUGAGUGAUUCAGCAAAUUCACCCAACGGAAAUGGAAAUUUGCAGGGCGCAAAGGGAGCAAGUUCUUCGGCCAGCAAGAAGCCCAAAGUGCAGAAGAAGAAAAAGAAGAGAGAUCCAAAUGAACCACAAAAACCAGUGUCAGCUUAUGCACUCUUCUUCCGUGAUACUCAAGCUGCCAUCAAGGGCCAGAAUCCCAAUGCAUCGUUUGGCGAAGUGUCCAAAAUUGUGGCAUCCAUGUGGGAUGUUUUGGCAACGGAACACAAAAAUGUGUACAAGAAGAAAACCGAGGCGGCAAAGAAGGAGUAUCUGAAGGCUUUGGCUGCAUAUCGAGCAAGUUUAGUGUCAAAGGGAAGUGACUCGGAGCAGGGCCAGUAUUCGUCGCCGCCGCACCAGCAGGGGCAGCAGGGCCCUGGAGGCGGUGUGGUGACUCAGCAAUCACCGCAGCAUCAGCAGCAGGGUGGCGCCCUCAUGGGUGCUGGACCACCGUCUAUGGCGCCCCAAACGAGUCCACAUUUGCCUCGUCCGCAGCAGCCACAGCCGCCGCCGCAGCAGCAGUCCCAGCCGCAGCAGCCACCGCCGGCGAAUCAGGCCCCAUCUCCGCACUAUCCACCCUAUUCGUCUCCCUACAAGUCGCCGCCCCAGCAUCAACAGGUCAUGAUGCAGCAGAGUUUGCAAAUGCAACAUCACAAUCCACAUCUGCCGCAUCAGCAGCAGCAAUCGAUGAUGAAUCAAAUGAAUUCGAUGGGCUCGAUGAUGGGACAAAUGAAUCCGCCGCCGCAGCAGCAGGCGACCCAUGUGAAUCCCAUGAAUCACCCCGCCAUGAACGGGGCGAUGAUGGGGAUGGGUGGCAUGCCCCAGUACAUGAAUCAACAGACACGGAUGCACCAAUCAGGCUAUUGUUAAUCAAGACUGGGAGGAUGAAUAUUGCAGCAAUGAGUGCGUCAUAACACAUUGCAGGGAUGUGUUUGGAAAUUGGGUGCAAACCAAUGCACAGCAGCCACAGACGUAUUCGGCCGUCAAAUAAAUCUGCCAGGCGAGAGAGAGAGUCCAGCCAGCGAGGACAAACCGAGGAAUACAAUUGUUCUUUCGCACAGACAGAGAGAGAGAGUGAAAGAAUUAAAGAGCGAUGUUUCGUUUAAAUUUUCCUUCUACCUAAAUUAGAUUUUUUCCGUGUUAUUUACUUCUCUCGUGUUGAGCUCUUUUUUUUGAUGUAAUUUGUAAGAAUUUAAUUUUAUUUUAUGCUUUCUUUGAUGCAAAUGAGAAGUACAAACUUCAUUUUAUAUCAUAUGAAUUGAAUUCCGUAGGCAUUUUAAGAAUUUAUCAUUUACCUUCCUCUUGUGUUGUUCCUCUACCAAUUCAAUUGUAUAAGAAAGAAAUGGGGAUUUUUUUUCCAUUAAGUUGCAUUUCACAGGAUGGAAAUUGAAAAGAAAAUCAAUCAAAUGAUACAGUAAAACUUGUAAGAAGGAAAUUAUUCUAGAAAUUUUGUAAAUAGACAAAGUGAUUGCCAUAGAAUUUCUUGACAAAGUGAAUUGAGUCGAAUGCGAUUGAAAUCAGUGAAAUAUAAAUUGCACAGAGAAAGUCAAAGCAAUUGACUUUGGUUGCAACAAAUUUGUAUAGAGAGAAGAAUAAGAGGAUUAAGAGCAAAUAAAUUUUAGUGAUUAAACAUUAUAUAAAGUUAAUUUUGAAUUGAAUUUUAGAAUUUACUAAUAGUCGUAAAAGAUUCUUUCUUCGUCUCUAUCGAGAAAAAAAUUUUAUGAAAAAUGAAAAAAAAGACAAUUCUCACGAGUUUUCUGAAGGAGAAUUUAUUACACAGAGAAAAUUCUCCAUUUUAAUGGGAAAAAGUGAUGUAAAUAAUUUUUUUUCUCAAAGCCUUUUUGAGAUAAGAUUUUUCGAAAAUUUCUGAGCCAAUUGAUGCUGAAGAUUCUUUUUAGAGAUUUUUCUGAUUAAUCCAACAAUGAAGAGAGGAGGAAGAAUAUUGAAAUAAAAGAAAAAAAGAAUAAUAAUUGAUAGAUUUUAGGAUAUGAUGAAAAGGAGGAAUAAAAUUUAUUGAAAUAGUAGUUAAUGAAGAAAAUCUAAAUAAUAACUUACGAGACUAUACACAACUUAGAAAGAGAAAGAGAGUGAGUGAUUGAGAGAAAAAAAUUCCUAUCGCAUCUUCUGUAUAGACAGUAGAAAAGAAAACCAACUUUUCGGCAAAAUGAAUUUUGUAAAAAAUAAAAAUAUAUGAGCAAUGACAAAAGAUUUCUGUUGAAAAUGACUUCGGAUUUUACCAAAACACAACAAUCAAAAAAAUAUAUAUUGUUUCACGGCAAAAAAGACACUCUAACGUAAAGAAGUAAAGAAAAUUGCAAAAGUAAUAUUGAAAUAAUUAUGUAUUAAUAAAUAUACGAUACGCUAUAAUUGAAUAGAUAAAACAAAAGUUAGAGAAGAAAUAAUAAAGUAUAGAAUUUAAAUGAACUACAAGAAAAAUAGGAGAUUUGAUGAGUAGUGAAAGACAUACCAAUCGCUAAAAUCUUGCAAGACAUAACAUUUAUCAUUUUACUUUCCUUCAGUUUUUGUACAAAAUAAGAACGUAAGAAGAGUAAGGAGAAAAGAAGAAGAAAAACACACAUUAAAAGCUUUCACUCGACUACAGAGAUCAACAAGGAGCAAAAGAGGUGAAGAACAUAAAAUCACAUGAAAGCAUUAUGCAAAGGAAGAAGAAAAGAUAAGAGAUGCAGCAUAGCGAAAAAAAAUGUAUAUAUAAAUAUUUAAAAUAAUUAAUAAAAUUUCAUCAAUAUUAGUGAA